AACGCUGGCGGCGUGCCUAACACAUGCAAGUCGAGCGGGGACAUGCGACGGAGACGAAGUUUUCGGAUGGAGUCGAAGAUGCAUUGUCUAGCGGCGGACGGGUGAGUAACACGUGAGCAACCUGCCUUCAAGAGGGGGAUAACAGAGAGAAAUUUCUGCUAAUACCGCAUAAGACCACAACACCGCAUGGUGAAGGGGUCAAAGGAGCAAUCCGCUUGAAGAUGGGCUCGCGGCUGAUUAGCUAGUUGGUGAGGUAAUGGCUCACCAAGGCGACGAUCAGUAGCCGAACUGAGAGGUUGAUCGGCCACAUUGGGACUGAGACACGGCCCAGACUCCUACGGGAGGCAGCAGUCGGGAAUAUUGCACAAUGGGGGAAACCCUGAUGCAGCGACGCCGCGUAAAGGAAGAAGGUCUUCGGAUUGUAAACUUUUGUCGACAGGGAAGAAAAAUGACAGUACCUGUGGAGGAAGCCCCGGCUAACUACGUG
rnacentral:rRNA from 1 species